CUCGACAAUGGAUAUCUCGGCUCUCGCAUCAAUGAAGAACGUAGUGAAAUGUGAUACUUGGUGCGAAUUUCAAAAUCCUGUGAACCAUCGAGUCUUUGAGUGCAAGUUGCGCUCGAAUCCUUCUGGGCGAGGGCACGUCUUCCUGGGUGUCACG
rnacentral:rRNA from 1 species